UACGUAGGGUGCAAGCGUUGUUCGGAAUUACUGGGCGUAAAGGGCGCGUAGGCGGGCUAGUAAGUUAGUUGUGAAAUCCCCGGGCUUAACCCGGGACGUGCAACUAAAACUGCAAGUCUUGAGUAUUGGAGAGGAUGGCGGAAUUCCAGGUGUAGAAGUGAAAUUCGUAGAUAUCUGGAAGAACACCGGAGGCGAAGGCGGCUGUCUGGCCAAAUACUGACGCUAAGGCGCGAAAGUGCGGGGAUCAAACAGG
rnacentral:rRNA from 1 species